GUUGAACGCUGGCGGCAGGCCUAACACAUGCAAGUCGAGCGGAUGAAGGGAGCUUGCUCCUGGAUUCAGCGGCGGACGGGUGAGUAAUGCCUAGGAAUCUGCCUGGUAGUGGGGGAUAACGUCCGGAAACGGGCGCUAAUACCGCAUACGUCCUGAGGGAGAAAGUGGGGGAUCUUCGGACCUCACGCUAUCAGAUGAGCCUAGGUCGGAUUAGCUAGUUGGUGGGGUAAAGGCCUACCAAGGCGACGAUCCGUAACUGGUCUGAGAGGAUGAUCAGUCACACUGGAACUGAGACACGGUCCAGACUCCUACGGGAGGCAGCAGUGGGGAAUAUUGGACGAUGGGCGAAAGCCUGAUCCAGCCAUGCCGCGUGUGUGAAGAAGGUCUUCGGAUUGUAAAGCACUUUAAGUUGGGAGGAAGGGCAGUAAGUUAAUACCUUGCUGUUUUGACGUUACCAACAGAAUAAGCACCGGCUAACUUCGUG
rnacentral:rRNA from 1 species